UACGGAGGGUGCAAGCGUUAUCCGGAUUCACUGGGUUUAAAGGGUGCGUAGGUGGGUCUGUAAGUCCGUGGUGAAAUCUCCGAGCUUAACUUGGAAACUGCCAUGGAUACUAUAGAUCUUGAAUACUGUGGAGGUUAGCGGAAUAUGUCAUGUAGCGGUGAAAUGCUUAGAUAUGACAUAGAACACCAAUUGCGAAGGCAGCUGGCUACACAAAUAUUGGCACUGAUGCACGAAAGCGUGGGGAUCAAACAGG
rnacentral:rRNA from 1 species